rnacentral:rRNA from 1 species
UCGGGAAUUUUGGGCAAUGGGGGAAACCCUGACCCAGCAACGCCGCGUGAAGGAUGAAGUAUUUCGGUAUGUAAACUUCGAAAGAAUAGGAAGAAUAAAUGACGGUACUAUUUAUAAGGUCCGGCUAACUACGUGCCAGCAGCCGCGGUAAUACGUAGGGACCAAGCGUUGUUCGGAUUUACUGGGCGUAAAGGGCGCGUAGGCGGCAUGACAAGUCACUUGUGAAAUCUCUGGGCUUAACCCAGAACGGCCAAGUGAUACUGUCGCGCUAGAGUGCAGAAGGGGCAAUCGGAAUUCUUGGUGUAGCGGUGAAAUGCGUAGAUAUCAAGAGGAACACCUGAGGUGAAGACGGGUUGCUGGGCUAACACUGACGCUGAGGCGCGAAAGCCAGGGGAGCAAACGGGAUUAGAUACCCCCGUAGUCCCUGAGCGGGCUGGCAAGGCGCAU